ensembl:lncRNA
AGCUGACACUCAGUAAGUGUGAAAAGUGAGAGUCGCUCAGUCGUGUCCGGCUCUUUGCGACCCCACGGGCUAUAUAGUCCAUGGAAUUCUCCAGGCCAGAAUAUUGGAGUGAGUAGCCUUUCCCUUCUCCAGGGGAUCUUCCCAACCCAGGGAUCGAACCCAGGUCUCCCCCAUUGCAGGCGGUGAGCCACCAGGGAAGCCCGACACUCAGUGGGUGCUUAUUACACACUUGCUGAAUGAAUGACCCUGCAAGAGUGGAUGCUGCCACGCCCCUGGGUGAAGUGGGAAGCUCCAGGGAGCCCUAUGGUUCACAAUCGCCCUGUGAACUGUCGCGCACCGUGUUCCCUGGAAUCCACGGCUGGGGAAGUCACUCAGUCAUGUCCGACUCUUUGCGACCCCAUGGACUGUAGCUCACCAGGCUCCUCUGUUCGUGGGAUUCUCCAGGCAAGAAUACUGGAGAGGGUUGCCAUUUCCUUCUCCAGGGGAUCUUCCCAACCCAGGGAUCAAACCCAGGUCUCUUGCAUUGCAGGCAGAUGCUUUAACCUCUGAGCCACCAGGGGCAGCAAUUUUAGUUUGCUUUGUUCUGUGCUGUGACUCUGGUAUAGAGGUCUGCACACAGAAAGAGCUCAAUAAAUGUUUGUUGAAUAAAUGAAUG